CAUGGGCCGCAGGCUGCAGGUCGGGCAGGAGCUGCUAGAGUACCUGCGCGACCCCGCGGCGUCCCCGGACGUGGAGCAGGACCCGCAGCGGCUCGACAGAGUGAUCGACGAGCUGGCGGCAUGGGUCAUCUCCAGCAACUUCAAGGGUGUGACGGAUGUACCCAACUCCUCAACACAACUAGUGGUCGUUUGGUUCAGUCUCUGAAGGAAGUAGAUGCCUAGACCCUGACUGGGCCGUUCACUUCUUUAAUUCCAACCUGUUCAUCAAAACACCCCCAUAGGAAGAGGUGACAUGGUGUGCUUUGAUGUUCAGGAGCUCGGAAAGCAGAACAUCGAUCAUGCAAUUAACACAGGAAUAGCAGGAGUGUUAAAACCAAGACCAGUUUGUCAAGGAGCAACGGCAGCUGUAUGCACAAGGAGUCUUAUGCUUACUUUCUCCAUCCUUUGUAAUCUGACUACCAGCAAGUCACCGUAUUCCAUGAACAUGAUGGCCUGAGUGAGCUUAUUUACUAAGCAGCAGGCUGCACAGCAGUGAUCUCCCCUGGAGCUGGGAUGCCUCUCACAAAUACUCCUCAAGGUCGAGACCCCUUAUCAACUACACAUCUUUGGUAAGCAACUGACACUGUGCAUAACUCGUACCACUGGAAAUUAAGAUCACAUAUUGGUAAUUUGGAUGUUAAGCCUCACUUUUACAACAUUUUACUUCAAUAAACCAUUUUUGC